UACGUAGGGGGCAAGCGUUGUCCGGAUUUAUUGGGCGUAAAGAGCGUGUAGGCGGCCAUACAGGUCAGCUGUGAAAACUCGAGGCUCAACCUCGAGACGUCGGUUGAAACCGUUUGGCUAGAGUCCGGAAGAGGAGAGUGGAAUUCCCGGUGUAGCGGUGAAAUGCGCAGAUAUCGGGAAGAACACCCGUGGCGAAGGCGGCUCUCUGGGACGGUACUGACGCGUGAGACGGCGAA
rnacentral:rRNA from 1 species